AGAGCGAACGCUGGCGGCAGGCCUAACACAUGCAAGUCGAACGGACUCUUCGGAGUUAGUGGCGGACGGGUGAGUAACACGUGGGAACGUGCCUUUAGGUUCGGAAUAGCUCCUGGAAACGGGUGGUAAUACCGAAUGUGCCCUUCGGGGGAAAGAUUUAUCGCCUUUAGAGCGGCCCGCGUCUGAUUAGCUUGUUGGUGAGGUAAUGGCUCACCAAGGCUACGAUCAGUAGCUGGUCUGAGAGGAUGACCAGCCACAUUGGGACUGAGACACGGCCCAAACUCCUACGGGAGGCAGCAGUGGGGAAUCUUGCGCAAUGGGCGAAAGCCUGACGCAGCCAUGCCGUGUGUAUGAUGAAGGUCUUAGGAUUGUAAAAUCUUUCACCGGUGAAGAUAAUGACUGUAGCCGGAGAAGAAGCCCCGGCUAACUUCGUGCCAGCAGCCGC
rnacentral:rRNA from 1 species